UCGUGGUUGAAGGAGAAACGUGCGCGGCGUAGGCACGUAAUCCACUCUUAAAAAUAGUCUAAAUCCUUAAACGGAUUUGAUCAUCUUUCAACAGAUGUCAACAUCCGUUUAAGGUAACCAAAACUAACCUCUCGUAGACCAACACAGAAGCAAAGCACCAACCACCGCACGCCGCACCGCCACGCACCAACCGCACGCCGCAACCACACCAACGAGAAAGAGGAACUGAGAGGAACUGUUGGGACUUGGGGUGGGGAAACGGAUCUUGGAAAAUUAUUUGGUUUAAAAACGGAUGUGGAAGAGGGUGAGAAUGAGAGAGAAGAAGUGCUGGUUACUAAAAUUAAAACUAGGAUUUCUGAGUUAAAUCAGUUAAAUAAGGGUAAAAGUAAAAAAAAUAAUAAAAAGUAAAAAGAUUAUUUUUGUAAUAAAAUAAAAUAUGAAAAAAAUUGGAGAGAUGGAGAGAUCAACUCCCUUCAAGUAUUUACUUAGGUG
rnacentral:lncRNA from 1 species